UGGGGAAUUUUGCGCAAUGGGCGAAAGCCUGACGCAGCGACGCCGCGUGAGGGAUGAAGGUCCUAGGAUUGUAAACCUCUGUAAGGAAGCAUUAAAUGUACGGGCGUUAACACCGCCCGUGCUUGACUUAACUUCCAGAGGAAGCCCCGGCUAACUACGUGCCAGCAGCCGCGGUAAUACGUAGGGGGCAAGCGUUACUCGGAUUUAUUGGGCGUAAAGAGGAUUAAGGCGGUCAUGUAAGUCAGUGGUGAAAUCCCCCGGCUCAACUGGGGAAUUGGCUUUGAUACUGCGUGACUUGAGGACAGGAGAAGAAGGCUGAAUUCCCGGUGUAGCGGUGGAAUGCGUAGAUAUCGGGAGGAACA
rnacentral:rRNA from 1 species